UACUAGAGUAGCACUCGCAUAUCAAUAAGCGGAGGAAAAGAAACUAACAAGGAUUCCCUUAGUAACGGCGAGUGAAGCGGGAAGAGCUCAAAUUUGAAAUCUUCAAGGGUUUACCUUGACGAAUUGUAGUUUAAAGAAGUGUUUUCUGUUGGAGUUUCGGUAAAAGUUCUUUGGAAUAGGACAUCAUAGAGGGUGAGAAUCCCGUAUUUGACCAUUACUUUCCAGCUGUGUGAUACACUUUCAAAGAGUCGGAUUGUUUGGGAAUGCAGUCCAAAAUGGGUGGUAAAUUUCAUCUAAAGCUAAAUAUUGGCGAGAGACCGAUAGCGAACAAGUACCGUGAGGAAAAGAUGAAAAGAACUUUGAAAAGAGAGUUAAACAGUACGUGAAAUUGUCAAAAGGGAAGCGUUUGACACCAGUGUUGUUUAGUUGAAAAUCAAUUCAAUAAUUUUUGAUUUUAAGUAGUAUUGACUUCAUCAGCUUGCUGCUUUCUUUUCGAAAAUUAUUGAAUGCACUUUUCAGUUAACAAGUCAACAUCAAUUUCUUUUGUUGUAAAAGGGUAAGAGGAAGGUGGCUUACGCUUCGGCGUAAGUGUUUAUAGCCUUUUACCUCUGCAAUCGGAGAGAUUGAGGUCAGCAGCGUAGACUCCUUCGGGGGUUAGAUACACUUGUGCUAAGCUAUAGCCUUGUAUAGACAACUUGUUGACUAUGCUCAGUCAUGUAGCUUACUCGCUUGUGCUAUUUUACCUACGCUUAGGAUGUUGAAGAUAUGCGCGACACG
rnacentral:rRNA from 1 species